rnacentral:rRNA from 1 species
GUCCUACGGGGCGCAGCAGUGGGGAAUAUUGCACAAUGGGCGAAAGCCUGAUGCAGCAACGCCGCGUGAAGGAAGAAGGGUUUCGGCUCGUAAACUUCUAUCAACAGGGACGAAAGAAAUGACGGUACCUGAAUAAGAAGCCCCGGCUAACUACGUGCCAGCAGCCGCGGUAAUACGUAGGUGGCAAGCGUUGUCCGGAUUUACUGGGUGUAAAGGGCGUGUAGCCGGGUUGACAAGUCAGAUGUGAAAUCCUGCGGCUUAACCGCAGAACUGCAUUUGAAACUGUUGAUCUUGAGUACUGGAGA